rnacentral:rRNA from 1 species
GGAAGUAAAAGUCGUAACAAGGUUUCCGUAGGUGAACCUGCGGAAGGAUCAUUACUGAUUUAGCGAACCGAGCAUUAGCGAGGUUUUGCGAUCAAUUUAUAUUUAAAACCCACUCUUUAAUGUAUAAAAUUUGUAUUAAUGAUAAAUUAAAAGAUCACUUUCAACAACGGAUCUCUUGGCUCUCGCAUCGAUGAAGAGCGUAGCGAAGUGCGAUAAGUAAUGUGAAUUGCAGUAUUCCGUGAAUCAUCGAAUCUUUGAACGCAUAUUGCACUUUCUGGCAUUCCGGAAAGUAUGCCUGUUUGAGGGUCAGUUAAAUAAAAAUCGGUGUUGUUGCUGCCUUUCGUGGUGACGCGUCGGAAUUGAGUUGUCUUACCUUCGGUUAAGUGACUUAAAAUUUUGUAUGAUUUUCGAACGUAUUUAAAUUUAUAUGAACGUUUGAUAUCGAAUGCUUAUUAGGUUCGGUCAUCCUCAUGACUCGCGCCUAUAAUUUUUCAUUAAAUGACCUCAAAUCAGGUAAGAAUACCCGCUGAACUUAAGCAUAUCAAUAAGCGGAGGA